rnacentral:rRNA from 1 species
UACGAAGGGGGCUAGCGUUGCUCGGAAUUACUGGGCGUAAAGGGCGCGUAGGCGGGUCGUUAAGUUGGGGGUGAAAGCCCAGGGCUCAACCCUGGAAUUGCCCUCAAUACUGGCGACCUUGAGUAUGGCAGAGGUGUGUGGAACUCCGAGUGUAGAGGUGAAAUUCGUAGAUAUUCGGAAGAACACCAGUGGCGAAGGCGACACACUGGGCCAUUACUGACGCUGAGGCGCGAAAGCGUGGGGAGCAAACAGG